rnacentral:rRNA from 1 species
UACGUAGGGGGCAAGCGUUGUCCGGAAUCAUUGGGCGUAAAGCGCGUGUAGGCGGCUUGGUAAGUCUGCUCUGAAAGCCCGGGGCUCAACCCCGGGAGGCGGGUGGAUACUGUCAAGCUCGAGUCCGGAAGAGGAGUGUGGAAUUCCUGGUGUAGCAGUGAAAUGCGUAGAGAUCGGGAGGAACAUCAGUUGCGAAGGCGGCUCUCUGGACCAGCACUGACACUGAGGCACGAAAGCGUGGGGAGCAAACAGG